rnacentral:rRNA from 1 species
GAUGAACGCUGGCGGCGUGCCUAAUACAUGCAAGUCGAGCGAACAGACGAGGAGCUUGCUCCUCUGACGUUAGCGGCGGACGGGUGAGUAACACGUGGAUAACCUACCUAUAAGACUGGGAUAACUACGGGAAACCGGAGCUAACACCGGAUAAUAUAUUGAACCGCAUGGUUCAAUAGUGAAAGACGGUUUUGCUGUCACUUAUAGAUGGAUCCGCGCCGCAUUAGCUAGUUGGUAAGGUAACGGCUUACCAAGGCAACGAUGCGUAGCCGACCUGAGAGGGGGAUCGGCCACCCGAGAGCGGGAACGCGCUCCAGACGCCUACGGUAGGCAGCAGUAGGGAAACGUACGCAAAGGGCGGGAACCUGGCGGAGCAACGCCACGUGAGUGAUAGAGGGCUUGGGUUCGUGAUACUCUGUUAUUAGUGAAGAACAAAUGUGUAAGGAACUAUGGACGUCGUGACGGUACCUAAUCAGAAAGCCACGGCUAACUACGUG